AGGGUGGGUGUCGAUGGGCGGCUUCAUCCAGUCUUGAAAACUGUCGUGGCUUCGCGCCACCGUGGGUUCAAAUCCCACACCCUCCG
rnacentral:tRNA from 1 species